GAUGAACGCUGGCGGCGUGCCUAAUACAUGCAAGUCGAGCGAACGGACGAGAAGCUUGCUUCUCUGAUGUUAGCGGCGGACGGGUGAGUAACACGUGGAUAACCUACCUAUAAGACUGGGAUAACUUCGGGAAACCGGAGCUAAUACCGGAUAAUAUUUUGAACCGCAUGGUUCAAAAGUGAAAGACGGUCUUGCUGUCACUUAUAGAUGGAUCCGCGCUGCAUUAGCUAGUUGGUAAGGUAACGGCUUACCAAGGCAACAAUGCAUAGCCGACCUGAGAGGGUGAUCGGCCACACUGGAACUGAGACACGGUCCAGACUCCUACGGGAGGCAGCAGUAGGGAAUCUUCCGCAAUGGGCGAAAGCCUGACGGAGCAACGCCGCGUGAGUGAUGAAGGUCUUCGGAUCGUAAAACUCUGUUAUUAGGGAAGAACAUAUGUGUAAGUAACUGUGCACAUCUUGACGGUACCUAAUCAGAAAGCCACGGCUAACUACGU
rnacentral:rRNA from 1 species